ACUAUCGAAGACGUACGGAUGUCAAUAUGAGCGUUCUCAUUGCAGCCGGUUGCACGGAGAUCUUCAAUACAAAUCGUUUGGUUGCUGAAUGGAAUCUUUUUGUGAUGACCAGUGUAGCAAGCGAUGCCGUUCAGACCAACAAAGAAAUCACCCCCACGUGGGUGUCCUCCUCUG